CAACUUUCAGCAACGGAUCUCUUGGCUCUCGCAUCGAUGAAGAACGCAGCGAAUUGCGAUAUGUAAUGUGAAUUGCAGAUUUUCAGUGAAUCAUCGAAUCUUUGAACGCAUCUUGCGCUCCUUGGUAUUCCGAGGAGCAUGCCUGUUUGAGUGUCAUUAAAUUCU
rnacentral:rRNA from 1 species